rnacentral:misc_RNA from 1 species
UACAGAGGUCUCAAGCGUUGUUCGGAUUCAUUGGGCGUAAAGGGUGCGUAGGUGGCGUGGAAAGUUGAGUGUGAAAUCCUAGGGCUUAACCUUAGAACUGCACUCAAUACUCCCAUGCUAGAGGAAUGUAGAGGAGAGUGGAAUUCACGGUGUAGCAGUGAAAUGCGUGGAUAUCGUGAGGAAGACCAGUUGCGAAGGCGACUCUCUGGGCAUUUCCUGACACUGAGGCACGAAGGCCAGGGGAGCAAACGGG